rnacentral:rRNA from 1 species
AUGCAGGGAUCAGUUCUCAAGAUGGGCCCUUGUGGCGGCGGCUUUGGCGACGUCUGGUAGAUGGACGUGCGCGGCGUCGACCGUAUUGUCAAGUUGGUCCUGUGGCACUGCGGCGCGGUUGAUGCCAUCUCAGUGGUAUACGAGCGGGAUGGCCAGGAGGAGCAGACUAGGCAGUGGGGAAAAGUUGAAGGAGCGCGGUCAGAGAUCUGUCUGGAGUCAGACGAGUAUCUCACAUGCGUAAAAGGUCGGUUAGGCAAUUAUGGUGGGUAUUUCCUUGUUGGAUCAGUCACUAUUGUCAGCAACCGGCGCACCUUCGGGCCAUAUGGUAUAGGCAAAGGUGCGCCAUUCAAGCUCCCGGCGGCCGGCGGCAGAAUCAUUGGAUUCCACGGCCGCUCCGAGGGGCUCCUCAACGCUCUUGGGACCUACGUCAAGAUGGGCUAA